AUCAGUAGCAGUGCAGAAGUAAGAAAGGCUUAAAGACGAUUAGACAUACCACUAUGUUUAUUUACUAUACUAUUAUCUUGAUGUACUAAAUGAUUUCAUUUUAGUUAUUUCGGUGUUUUGAUGGCAUAUGGAGGCCUCCAAGAUGAACCGGAUUCUCCCAUUAUAUUCUUUGGAUCCUUGCAGCCCAUAUUUGAUUUCAACGGCUAAUUGGGUUAUUGGUCAGCUUGCGAUAUGCCUACCAGAGGUUACAUGUUUUUCUUGUUUUUAAAUUCCAUCAUCUCAUAGGACAUGCUGGAUCAAAGUAGAG